GAUUACAUCCUCCACAUAAGCCUUGUUAACAAAGUUAGCAAGGCGUCUCUGGAAAAUAAUAACCAGCUCUGGGACUUGAAAUAUGGAUGAAGCAUACAGCAAUUCCACCGUAAAAUUAAUUGCAGGUCUACAGGCAUCAUGUGCACAUUCACCAUCAACACAAGUUGAUACACCCAGCGGAGAUGGCUUGAGUUUUCCAGUAUACAAAUAGCUUAAGAAAACCAGGAAGGCUUCAUAUCCAACUUUUCCAUGGGGUAACAGAUCACUCAUGAAAUACCUAGGCUUCCCUCCCUCCUCCAAAGACCCCUUUUCUCGCGUAAAUAACUCAUCGAAGAACCUGCUCCUUACAGCUAGGAUAUAGCGAUGAAUUGGAAUAGGGCGCCCCUCAACAACAAUUUCAGCAUCACUAUAAUAACAACUACGCCUACAAUCUAUCAAGAGCUGCUCCAAAUUCGAGCUAAGUUUGUUUAAACUAAUCACCUCAAGACUAGGAAUUGCCCCAAAGCCUGUGGGAAUGUCCUCAAGACUAGGAAUUGCCACAGUGCCUAAGGGAAUAGAUGGGUUUUGAUUAAUCAAGCCAUUUGAUGCAUGGGAAGAUGCAGUAGAUAUGUUUUGAUCAGAGCUUGCCUCAGAGCCUGAGGAGGUGGAAAUAUUUUGAUUACUCGAGUCAUCUGAUUCAUGAGAAGAUGAAGGAAAGAUCAAAGGUGAUGAUGGCAAAUAAGGAAAAUAAAAAUCACCCAUUAAUCUACUUUAAGAACUUUGAUGAAGGACCGCUGAGAUUAAAUCUAUGAUUCAUAACACACAGCUACCCAACUAUGAAAUCAUUAUCUAUGAGAUUUUUCAUGGAAAAAACACCUAGGCCUAUGCACAGAAGUAUCUGAGUAAAACCAGUGUAAGAAAAUGGCUGGAAGUUGCUUGCUUGAGUUUCCAAGACCACCAAAUCAACAAGCUAUAAGAAAAGCCAAGCAAAAAAACUAAUAGCAAAAAAAAUUAUAUUUGAAUCUAACAAAAGAACAUUAGCACCAAAACAAAAGUAAGAAAAUAGCAAAAUUUAAGGAAAAGAAGAAGAAUGUGAAAUGAUCCCAAAAGAACCCACACAGAAGAACACCAGCAAACCUUACAUGAUGAACAAGAUCUAUCAAAAGUUUAACCCAGAAGUAAACUAGAAGAACAAGGUGUCACCGAAAGCAGAAGAAAGGAUGGCAAGGGUGGAGCCUCUUGAAAAGUGGCCCAAAAU
rnacentral:misc_RNA from 1 species